CUCCUGCCUAUUCCAUAUUUUUUUCACACAUAUAAUCAUUUGUUUGCAGUCCGGAAAUAUAAAACCAUUCAAGAAACGGAGGCCCAACUAUUGGGUUUGCGUCCUCAUCUGCCUUUCCAGACCAGCAGUUCCCAAAAGCCAGUGUGAGAACCAUCUGCAUCAGAGUGACCAGUCUGUGAAGAUCAAGCAUAGGAAUGCCAGGACUCCACCCUACAUGUCCUUUAUCUGGGGUGGUGCCCAGGCUUCCCGAUUAUUCUACCAACUCUACCAAAUCCUUGUUCUUCGUUGCACAAUUAGCUGUGAAACAGACAGAGGUUACCUACAAUAAGUGCAUGUCAUUUUGGACUAGCCAUAUUUCAAGGGCUCAGUAUGGCUAAUGGCCACUAUAUUGGACAUCGACGGUCAAACCCAUUUUACAUUCCCCUGACAACUAUGAUUGGUGUGAGGCCUAUGAUGGCCCAACUAGGCUGACAGCAAAGAUCUUUCCUGUUGGCAAAGAUCAUCUUUCUCUCUCCUGCUGGCAAGAACAAGAAAGAAUAAAGGUCUGAUCAACCCAUGAGCUUUCUUGGGAUUUAUGAGGAGAACCAGACUUUGGAUGAAACUGACAUUGAAAUGAGCAGGAUGGAGAGAAA
rnacentral:lncRNA from 1 species